GUUCUGUGAUUGAUGUUUCUGCCGGGAAACCUGUAAAUGAAUGAAGCCAUUUGUUGGACUGAGCAAAUCAGCAACGAUCAACAGCUGGACACAGUGGAACUGAAAUUUCCCUCAGAUGACAGCUGCUUUCUACUGCUUACUGCUGUGAGGGGUCAACUUGUGAUGUCCAGCUACAUGUCCCGAGGUGCAGUUCUUACAGUCAGAACCCAGACAGACAAAGCUGGAUACCUGUAUGAUUCACACACAUCUGUAGGAUGUUGCUGCCCUCCAUUUGUACAACGGCCCACAUGGCAGCUGCCUUCGUACAGGUUGGAAGAGUCACUGGAGUGAACAAGUGCCCUGAUUAAACUCUUCUUCUCUUCCAGUCCCCAGCAAAUCUUUGAAUCCUGAGGAGAUGAUAAUUAAUGCAGAACUUUAAAUAGCUUUUCAGAGAAGCAAUUCAGGUUGCAUGUAGUAGACACAACUUUCAUAAGUAUAUGGAAAACAGAUUUACUCUUUAGAAGAAGGUUAAAUUUCAGUCUUAAUUACAAAUGUCUCUUUUUUGUACAACAAUUUUUAAAUUAUAACUCCCUGAAGAAUAAAUAUUCCAUAAGACUGGAUAACAAGGCUAAGUCUAAUUUAUGCCAUUUAGAUGCAAAUGAUCAUUCUGGUGUCUAAAUGCCCAAAAUCAAGUGGAAGGUAAGCAGACACUGAGGGCACAGAAAAGCAAUAUGGAAAAUCUUAUUUUUUGAUUAAGGUACAAGUUUCAAGGGUUCAGAUCCUCAAAGCCCUUUCUCAUGCUAGUCCAUUGACUUCACUACAAUCCUCUCAUGAGAGCCCAUGUCAGUGGGGUCAUUCCCAUGAGAAGACUGUGUUUUGAAUUAGUGUAGCUUUUCUAUUCUUAAGCAACAAAAAUCUGAGAUGAUAUGUGCAGCUGAGUUUGGAUUUUUUGGAAAGUAGAACUGCAGUAAAUCAUACAGUAUAAAGGAAAUCAGAAGAUUAAAUAAAGCAGCAAAAUGUUUAUUGGCAGCAUGGAGUCUGCUUCAGAAGACUAUUUUAGAAGUGUGGAGUAGAUGUAUACCACCUACCAGACAAGUUUUUAAAAGACUGAAAGGAAAACAAAAUGCUGUCAUGGUCAAAUAUCAAGGCAGUAGAAAUCACUAAAUGGCAUUAAAGGCAUCUUUUAAAAAGUGGAAGUCUUAUCUGAACAAGGAAAAAUAGAAGAGAGCAUAACCUCUAGCAAGUUGAGUUUUGACCUCUAAUCAAGAAGGGCAGUGAAGAUUUAGAAAGGAAACCUAGUAAAAUUAUGAAGGCCUUGAAUUAUGAAGUAUAAAAUGAAAAUUAUGAAGUAUAAAACCUUCCUCAAAAACAUCAGGGCCGCAAGCUGACCAGAAAGUCAAUAGGGCCAAUAUGUGAUGAAGGUGUAGAAAAGCACUCCAUGAAGGCAAGACCUUGCAGCAGAAAUAAACGACGUAUUUCUAUUAGUGCUGGUCA